CCCUUAGAUGUUCUGGGCCGCACGCGCGCUACACUGAUGCAUUCAACGAGCCUAUCCUUGACCGACAGGUCCGGGUAAUCUUUGAAUCUGCAUCGUGACGGGGAUAGAUUAUUGCAAUUAUUAAUCUUCAACGAGGAAUGCCUAGUAGGCGCAAGUCAUCAGCUUGCGUCGAUUACGUCCCUGCCCUUUGUACACCCCGCCCGUCGCUCCUACCGAUUGGGUGUGCUGGUGAAAUGUUCGGAUCGGCCGUUUGUCGCGGUUUCCGCGUCAUGUGGCUGAGAAGUUCAUUAAACCCUCCCACCUAGAGGAAGGAGAAGUCGUAACA
rnacentral:rRNA from 1 species